UGCAUGUCUAAGUUCAAGCGAAAAUAAAGUGAAACCGCGAAUGGCUCAUUACAUCAGUUAUGGUUCCUUAGAUCGCACUUACUACUUGGAUAACUGUGGUAAUUCUAGAGCUAAUACAUGCGCUGGGCCCCAACCCUCGUGGAAGGGGCGCUUUUAUUAGAUCAAAGCCAAUCGGGCCUUCGGGCUCGUUUAAUUGGUGACUCUGAAUAACUUUGCUGAUCGCAUGGUCUCGUACCGGCGACGUAUCUUUCAAGUGUCUGCCUUAUCAACUGUCGAUGGUAGGUUAUGCGCCUACCAUGGUUGUAACGGGUAACGGGGAAUCAGGGUUCGAUUCCGGAGAGGGAGCCUGAGAAACGGCUACCACAUCCAAGGAAGGCAGCAGGCGCGCAAAUUACCCACUCCCGGCACGGGGAGGUAGUGACGAAAAAUAACGAUGCUAAACUCAUACGAGGCUUAGCAAUCGGAAUGAGUACACUUUAAAUCCUUUAACGAGGAUCUAUUGGAGGGCAAGUCUGGUGCCAGCAGCCGCGGUAAUUCCAGCUCCAAUAGCGUAUGUUCAAGUUGCUGCGGUUAAAAAGCUCGUAGUUGGAUCUCGGUUUCGGGAGGGCGGUGCGCCCAGCGGCGUCUACUGUCCACCCGGACGAUUUUGUUGGUUCGUUCAUGGUGCUCUUCAUCGGGUGCCUUGAGUGGCCAGCACGUUUACUUUGAAAAAAUUGGAGUGCUCAAAGCAGGCGCUACAGCCUGAACAAUUGUGCAUGGAAUAAUGGAAUAGGACCUCGGUUCUAUUUCGUUGGCUUUCGGAGUCGAGGUAAUGAUUAAUAGGGACAGACGGGGGCAUUCGUACUGCGACGUUAGAGGUGAAAUUCUUGGAUCGUCGCAAGACGAACUACUGCGAAAGCAUUUGCCAAGAAUGUUUUCAUUAAUCAAGAACGAAAGUUAGAGGUUCGAAGGCGAUCAGAUACCGCCCUAGUUCUAACCAUAAACGAUGUCGACUGGCGAUCCGUCCCCGUUAACUGAAUGACUGGACGGGCAGCCUCCGGGAAACCAAAGUCUUUGGAUUCUGGGGGAAGUAUGGUUGCAAAGCUGAAACUUAAAGGAAUUGACGGAAGGGCACCACCAGGAGUGGAGCCUGCGGCUUAAUUUGACUCAACACGGGAAAACUCACCAGGCCCGGACACCGGAAGGAUUGACAGAUUGAGAGCUCUUUCUUGAUUCGGUGGGUGGUGGUGCAUGGCCGUUCUUAGUUGGUGGAGCGAUUUGUCUGGUUAAUUCCGAUAACGAACGAGA
rnacentral:rRNA from 1 species